rnacentral:tRNA from 2 species
GCACACGUGGUGGAAUUGGUAGACACGCUACUUUGAGGGGGUAGUUUCUGUAUGGAUGUGUGAGUUCGAGUCUCAUCGUGUGCA